GACGAACGCUGGCGGCGUGCCUAAUACAUGCAAGUCGAACGCAGUGGGGACGGGUGAGUAACACGUGGGUAACCUCCCAUCAGAGGGGAUAACACUUGGAUACAGGUGCUAAACCGAUAUUGGUGGAUGGACCCGCUGUGCAUUAGCUAGUUGGUGAGGUAACGGCUCACCAAGGCCACGAUGCAUAGCCGACCUGAGAGGGGGAUCUGACACACUGUGACUGAGAAACGGCCCAGACUCCUACGUGAGGCAGCAGUAGGGAAUCUUCGGCAAUGGACGAAAGUCGGACCGAGCAACGCCGCGUGAGUGAAGAAGGUUUUCGGAUCGUAAAACUCUGUUGUUAGAGAAGCGGUAUCUAACCAGAAAGCCACGGCUAACUACGUGCCAGCAGCCGCGGUAAUUC
rnacentral:rRNA from 1 species